CAAUAAUCUGGAAUAUACUACCAGCAGUCCAGAAUCCAGAAAAGGGAAGGGAGGAAGAGAGCAUCUGAAACAUAGGCAUCAAAGAAAAAAGGUAGACUGCAGGACCCAACAAGUGAAGGCUGCAUCUGAGAUACAGACUAACAAGGCUACCUCCUGAUACUUGCCUUCCAUUCUCAUCAUUCAAUGGGACAGUGACAAGGGUGCUGAUGCAGCUAGAAAUAUCAAGGAUAACCCUGAAGACCCAGAAAGCAGUCAGAAAGGAGGAGGAUCAGGCUGCAGAAGCCCUUACAGAGGACCCUGAAGAUGGACUGGUGCCUCGGCAAGGUGCAGAACCCCAGGCUGAAUACUGAGGUCAGAGGCUAGCAUCCCUACAGGAGCAGAAUUAAGGUUGAC